rnacentral:lncRNA from 1 species
CAAGCAACAUUUCAUUUCUUUUCAAGCUAUGUGUGCGGCGAUGUGGUAGUUGAGAUUUGAUCAAAGAUUGCAAGAAAAAAAAUACUUCAUGUUGUUUUUCUUACAUGUAUAUUAUUACUAGGUAGUAUUAUUUGAUUGUGGCGGUCAAAAACCUAAGCAAUGUUUGAUUGGAGGUUCUUGCUUCUCCCAUUAGAUUCUUAC